rnacentral:rRNA from 1 species
AUUGAACGCUGGCGGCAUGCCUUACACAUGCAAGUCGAACGGCAGCACGGGUGCUUGCACCUGGUGGCGAGUGGCGAACGGGUGAGUAAUACAUCGGAACAUGUCCUGUAGUGGGGGAUAGCCCGGCGAAAGCCGGAUUAAUACCGCAUACGAUCUACGGAUGAAAGCGGGGGACCUUCGGGCCUCGCGCUAUAGGGUUGGCCGAUGGCUGAUUAGCUAGUUGGUGGGGUAAAGGCCUACCAAGGCGACGAUCAGUAGCUGGUCUGAGAGGACGACCAGCCACACUGGGACUGAGACACGGCCCAGACUCCUACGGGAGGCAGCAGUGGGGAAUUUUGGACAAUGGGCGAAAGCCUGAUCCAGCAAUGCCGCGUGUGUGAAGAAGGCCUUCGGGUUGUAAAGCACUUUUGUCCGGAAAGAAAUCCUUGGCUCUAAUACAGUCGGGGGACGACGGUACCGGAAGAAUAAGCACCGGCUAACUACGUG